rnacentral:lncRNA from 1 species
UUGGUGGAUUUUGGUUUCUUGGGUUUCGAAUGUUGCGAAAUUGUGGAAAAUGGUUUUCUAGGGUUCCGAAUGUUGUAAAACUUGGGGAUUUAGCUUUUCUAGGGUUUCGUAUUGAUCGAAGAGUGGAUUGGAUGGCUAGACGUGGCUCGUGUGUAUGAUCAUGUGAUUACUCAGAAGUUUAAUAGCUCUCAAUCUCAUGCAUCAGGUGCUCUUAGCAAUCAACUCACCGCUUAUUUGAAAUCGGUUGAGGUCUCAAGGCUUUAAGCGGUUCCUCAUCCACCGAUUUUUUUUGUUAUAAUUUCUCCAAAUCGGUUGACGAUUGAUUUUGUCUUGGAAUCCCUUUCCGCAGGUUUGGAAUUUUUUACCUUAAAAUCGAAAAUUGAUAAGAACUAUAUAAUACAAUACUUUUUAGUUUAACAUUAUUUGUGUUCCACUUACAAGUGAGGUUGGAGGGACAGACAACAUUUUGUUGGUUAAGGUUCUUUCCUAUGCUGCUAACAAUUGUGAGAGCAACAAAAUGUCAUGCUUAAGGUUUUUAAUUUGUUUGUUAAUAUUUGAUUAAUUAAAGUUUUCAUGAUAAUGAUUUUGGUAUCAUCUAAAUUUGUUUGAUAUAAAAAAGGGUUUGUAUACAUGUUCUUUGUUUUAAACAUGAAUACCUGGUGGGUUUAUUGAGGGAUUUGGGUACUGUAAAAAGUUGAUUUUGUUCCCCUUUGAGCUUCAGCUUUAGAUUAUUAGCCCAUUCUGUAAUUUAAUAUAGUUGCAGGAUGUUCUAUGAUUUGCAGCAACACACUAAAUAGUGGUGUUAUGCGGAUGUUAAACCUUUAGAUGCUCUGCAAAUGCCUCAAGGUGCCUUACUUGUUUAGUAGAAACACUAUCUGCUGAUGAUUUGGGAAUUGAAGAAGGAGUUUAUGGAGAUCUAGCUAUGUUAACUUAUGUUAAUGUCGCUGCUGCUACUCCAGUGGAUCCAUUUCAGGUGCAGGUGCUGAUGUUCUGGCUUCGUUGUAUAUCAUGACCAAACAAAAUGUUAAGUUAGGUAACAAAAUAUGAAAGCCAAUUAGAAGCCAGCUGGAGAGCACCGAAUGCUUAGAAAAGUGGCUAUAAAAGUUACCUAAAUAAAAAGGAGAUUUUAUUUUCAAUACUUAGGGUUUAUCCUUAUAAAUGUAUUGUAAAGAAAACUUAGGUUUUAUCCCAUUUAUUUAUUUUAAACAUUUUGGUGUUUAACUCUGAUAAAAAUAUUUCCUAACUACGGUCCUGAAGAAAAUUUCCGCUGCCAAAUUAAUAAACACCGAUACCAUCUGACUGGUUCGCAGCUCCCGCUCCCAGGAUGGGGUCAGGGGCUGUGACAGUUUGUUAUAAUUUA